UUUCACUGGGGAAGUGUGAAGUGCUCUUCAUGCACAGUACAAGAGGCAAGCAGCCAGAGGGCAAGCAGAGGAGUAACAGGGCUGGACAAGAGCAGACAGAAGUUUGCUGAAUAUUUGUGAUGUGGCACUGCAAAACCAGGAACAAGUCACCAGAGCAUAAAUGGAGAAAAGCUUGGAAUCCACACUUUCAGGAUAUGUUAAUGCUGCUUAUCGCUGAAGUUUGGGCGCUUGGGCAUACGCCAGCUGAAGUUGCCUGUAUUGGCAGAAUGUUGCAUGCAGUUGCAGCAUUCUGCCUGCUGGCUCCGCUGUGGGAACUGGAGGUGGACCUCCUCCUGAUUAUCACUUCCUGUUUGAAGCCUCCAGCAGAAGAAGCUGGAUCCUCAGCUGGUGUGUUGACCAAUCCCAGAAGAGCUUUUCAUAUCAAAUACUGUACUUCAGCGCCUUCAGGCUGGCGACCUGUCAGUCAGCUGACAGGUGGGUAGCAGUUGUGAAGAUAAGGUGGAGCUACUGGAGCUACUCAUGACAGAAGAUUCGCUUGGACCAGAGAUUCUAUGUUUGACUUUGUCUCUUUUUGAACAAAGCUCUCAAAGAAGCUACUUCACCCAAUAAAUAAACAUAUUCUCUAAAGUUGAACG